rnacentral:rRNA from 1 species
GACAGAGGGUGCAAACGUUGCUCGGAAUCACUGGGCGUAAAGGGCGUGUAGGCGGGAAGGUAAGUCGGGCGUGAAAUCCCUGGGCUCAACCCAGGAACUGCGUCCGAUACUGGGAGGCUUGAAUCCGGGAGAGGGAUGCGGAAUUCCAGGUGUAGCGGUGAAAUGCGUAGAUAUCUGGAGGAACACCGGUGGCGAAGGCGGCAUCCUGGACCGGCAUUGACGCUGAGGCGCGAAAGCCAGGGGAGCAAACGGG